rnacentral:rRNA from 1 species
UCCUAGCCCUAAACGAUGUUCAUUAGGUGUUAAAGGUAUCGACCCCUUUAGUGCCGCAGCUAACGCGUUAAAUGAACCGCCUGGGAAUUACGAUCGCAAGAUUAAAACUCAAAAGAAUUGACGGGGGCCCGCACAAGCGGUGGAGCAUGUGGUUUAAUUCGAUGCUACGCGAACAACCUUACCUGGGUUUGACAUGCUAGUAGUAGUGAACCGAAAGGGAAACGAUCCACCUUUGGUGGAAGCUAGCACAGGUGCUGCAUGGCUGUCGUCAGUUCGUGUCGUGAGAUGUUGGGUUAAGUC